rnacentral:rRNA from 1 species
GACGAACGCUGGCGGCGUGCUUAACACAUGCAAGUCGAACGGAAAGGCCCCUUUGGGGGUACUCGUGUGGCGAACGGGUGAGUAACACGUGAGUAACCUGCCCUUGUCUUCGGGAUAACUUCCGGAAACUGGGGCCAAUACCGGCUAGGAAUCCUUGCUGCAUGGUGGGGGUUGGAAAGCUUCGGCGGUUUUGGAUGGACUCGCGGCUUAUCGGCUUGUUGGUGGGGUAGUGGCUUACCAAGGCUUUGACGGGUAGCCGGUCUGAGAGGGCGACCGGCCACACUGGGACUGAGAGACGGCCCAGACGCCUACGGGAGGAAGAAGUGGGGAAGAUUGAACAAUGGGCGGAAGCCGGAUGCAGCAACGCCGCGUGCGGGAUGACGGCCUUCGGGUUGAAAAACGCUUUCAGCAGGGGCGAAGCUUGUGGUGACGGUACCUGCAGAAGAAGCACCGGCUAACUACGUG